rnacentral:rRNA from 1 species
UACGUAGGGUGCGAGCGUUGUCCGGAAUUACUGGGCGUAAAGAGCUCGUAGGUGGUUUGUCGCGUUGUUCGUGAAAACUCACAGCUUAACUGUGGGCGUGCGGGCGAUACGGGGCAGACUGGAGUACUGCAGGGGAGACUGGAAUUCCUGGUGUAGCGGUGGAAUGCGCAGAUAUCAGGAGGAACACCGGUGGCGAAGGCGGGUCUCUGGGCAGUAACUGACGCUGAGGCACGAAGGCCAGGGGAGCAAACGGG